CACACAGUUACACAGAACAAGCGGUGUUGAAAUCUGGAGUUUGCUGUUUAUAGUUCUAUCGGUGCAGAAACAAUGAAUAUUUUCUUGCUUUCUGUCCUUUUAGCCUUAUUACCAAAUGUCUUUACUGUUCGAGUGGACCAAACACCGACAACAAUAACAAAGGAGACGGGCGAAUCACUGACCAUCAACUGUGUCCUAAGAGAUACUAACUGUGGAUUGUGCAACACGGGCUGGUAUCGAAAAAAAUUGGGGUCAACAAACGAGGACAGCAUAUCGACAGGUGGACGAUAUGUUGAAACAGUUAACAGCGGAUCAAAGUCCUUUUCUUUGAGAAUUAAUGAUCUAACAGUUGAAGACAGUGGCACGUAUCGAUGCACAGCAUGCACAGUAAUGAGCUUGAUCUUUCAUCAUUACAGAAGCUGUUAUGUAUACGGAGGUGGCACUGUCGUGACUGUAAAUCCUGGAGUACAGCCUUCUCCACCAAUAGUCAGUCUCCUCUACUCUGCAACUGAAGGAGAGAGAGAAAACGGAUUUGUGCAGCUGGUUUGUCUAAUCAGCGGAUACUAUCCCGAAAACAUUGCGGUGAGCUGGCAGAAGAACACAAAUGCCAUAACUUCUGGUGUUACAACUACAUCCCCAAAGAAAACAUCGAACAAUGACUUCAGCAGUUUAAGUUUACUUAGAGUGCCCCUACAGGAUUGGAGCAGCGGUUCUGUGUACACUUGCCAAGUUUCUCAUUCUGCAACCAACAGUAAAGAGAUGAAAGACAUUAAAUCAACAUCCGAGAUCGCUGUAUUACUAAGGGAUCCAACAGUUGAAGAAAUCUGGAUCAAUAAAAGUGCCACUCUAGUUUGCGAAGUGCUCUCUAGAGUUUCCGCUGGAAUAGUCAUCUCUUGGAUGGUAAAUGGAAAAGUAAGGAAUGAAGGCGUUCAAACGGAAGCAGCUAAAAUGAGUGGAAACCAAUAUCUGACCAUCAGCCGCUUGACCAGCAGUGUGGAAGAGUGGCAGAGUGGGGUGGAAUACACUUGCUCCGCAAAACAGGAUCAAUCAUCCACCCCAGUCAUAAAACAAACAAGAAAGGCAAGAGUCGAACCAAUGAAACCAUAUCUCCGCCUCCUGCCCCCGUCACCAGAAGAGAUUCAAAGCACCAGCUCUGCUACUCUCACAUGUUUGAUAAGAGGAUUCUAUCCUGACAAAGUACGCAUCUUCUGGGAAAAAGAUGAUGCUUCUGUGAGCGCGAACAUCACCAAUUUCCCCACUGCUCUGGAACAGGACCUGACCUUCAGCACACGGAGCCUCCUCAUUUUACCUGCAGUGGAAUGGAAGAGCGGAGCAAAAUACACCUGUACUGCCUCACAUCCACCUUCACAAUCCACUGUGAAGAGGGUCAUCAGGAAUCCGAAAGGUGAUUGCCGUCAGACAGAUAUUUCGGUCAGUCUACUGAAGCCUCCGUUUGAAGAGAUUUGGACAAAAGAGACAGCGACCAUUGUUUGCGAAAUCGUUUACAGCGACUUAGAAAACAUCAAAGUUUUCUGGCAAGUGAAUGGGGCUGAGAGAAAGAAAGGAGUCGAGACGCAGAAUCCCGAGUGGAGCGGAAGUAAAUCCACCAUUGUGAGCAAACUCAAAGUCGUGGCGUCGGAGUGGGACAGUGGUACCGAAUAUGUUUGCUUGGUAGAAGACAGUGAAUUACCAACACCAGUAAAAGCCUCCAUCAGGAAGGAAAACGUCAUCCAAAUGCAUCCUCCCAAGGUUUAUCUCCUGCAUCCAUCGACGGACGAGAUUGACGCUGAGAAUUCGGCUACCCUGAUGUGUCUAGCCACCAACUUUUACCCAGCUGAGAUUUACGUUGGUUGGAUGGCAAAUGACACUCUUUUGGAUUCUGGGUACCGGACCCAAAUAAGCAGCGAGAAUGGGAAUGAUUCCAGUUUCGUUACCAGCAUGUUGAGACUCACAGUGGCGGAAUGGAACAGUGACACCACUUACUCCUGCUUAGUGGGACACCCGUCCCUAAAUCGGGAUUUAAUCAGAAGUACAAAUAAAUCUCACGAUACCCCUGAAAUAAUAGAAAGACCGGAAGACCAUGGCACAGAAGAAGACGAACUAGAAGAUGUCAAUGAAGAUGCCAACAGUUCAUUAUCCAUGAUGACUUUCGUGAUCUUGUUUAUUCUCAGUAUGCUGUACAGCACAUUUGUAACUGUGCUUAAGGUGAACUGACCACUGCUGUUGAAGACAAAUACAUCUGGUUUCAUGGAAAUCUUAUGAAUGAAACCCCAUUAGAUACUAAUCGCAAAUGGAAUUGAAUUUACUUUUCCUCUCAACCGUAUCAGCUGUUCCAUGGCAUUACUUCAGUGUGUGUUCCUACGUGGUCUCAACUUCGGAAUGAGAACUGCUUGCACGUUUUCGGUCAUAAGCGUUUGCCUUUGCUCUUUUUUUUAGCUGUUAGUUUUCAAGAAAUCCCACGGAACUGCUACAAACUGAGGAAAUUACACUUCCACAAUUAAAUAAACUGAAGGUAAAUCUUGGAAAUUUGCCACGUGUCUGUAUAACAUUUUGAAAAAGUGGAGAUGUAUCUUAUGUAACUGACCUGUUAGAGAUUUGUGCAAUAUAACUUUGAGACUAGUAAUCAGAUAAACUUUCCUGAUAGAUCCAGUAGACAGGCUGUCAAACAUAUAAUUUUUACCCAAGAGCAUUGGGUAGAUAAAAGCCCAUUGAUUUCACAAGAGGGUUCAUUCACUCCUAUAGAAAAAAAAUACAUCAUCCACAAAUUGCGUAGAAAAAUUUGGAAAUAUACCUACAAGUAUGAGCUUUCUUCUCGCCACUGUUGUUAUUAAAAACCUGACUGUGCAAGCCGAAGUUUUCUCCUGUUUGGCAUUUUUAUUUGCUAAGUACUGAGGCUAUCAGUGCUCAAUGUGAGUAAUAAUUUCGUUUGCUCGAACCAGCAGAAGAAAUGUUUGAGAAUAUCUUCAGUUUGUCACUGCAUACAGAGCCCAGACAACACUUAAUAAAAGGUCAUGUGUUACAUCCAAUUUGAUUCCAUCUUGACACAGUCUCAGGAUUUCACACUCUGUAUAUAAAUACUGUAUACUGCCAUUACUAUCCGUAAUCGCCUUGAGAGAUUAUCGUGGCCUCUUUUCUUUAUCCACUACAAUCUAUGUCACGUCGAGGACUGCACAACACUUAUAUGCAGAGAAGUGUUGCAUAUAUGAUUCCUUGUUUCAAACCAUGUUUACGAAUUCCCGUUAAAUAUGUUGUCAGAUAAUAGUUGCUCCAAAGCAAUUGCUGUAAGGGAUAUUUUCCAACAUAUUAUGAAAUGAUUCGCUGUCUCUCUCUACCAAAAAAAAAAGACAAAGCAAAGGCAAACCUACAACAGACGCUGUGUAACAUCGCAGUUAACAUUGAAAUAGCAGAUUUCGCUGCUGUCUAUUGAACUGCAAAUCUUCCAAGUUAGUAUGAAAGUGAUUAGUUGUUAUAUAAGAGAAUAAAUCUUGUUUUGAAUGAGUCAGGGAUUCAUUCUUGACAAGAAUAGGCUAUUCAACCGCUUGUGCCAUUUUUGUCAUUUGUAAAGCUUCUGUUUGUUGACUACCGUCACUCUGUUCCUAUAUGUAUUUUCGACCAUUUGAAUUAACUUCAUUAAAAAGACUAUAAUUCUUGUAAUUUACAAAAAAAAGAAGUGUCAAUAACUUUGGAAACUUGCAAUAAUUUCCCCUACUGUGGAAAUAUAAUGCUGCCAUGUAUAGAUUUAAAUAUGUCUUUGCCUUCAAUGUAUUGUUAUUUAGUUAUUACCUUCAUAUUCUGUCAACGCAGAGGUGUGAAAUGUAACUGUUAUUAUCUCCUUCAUGUUGUCAUUCAUUCAAGUUUUGCUGAAAUCCUGGCCUUAAAUCAAGCACGUGUUUUCAGAAUGCAAUUUAUUUCAGUUUGUUCCAAUGAGUAUGUCAGUAUUCGUCUCAUAUGUGGUGCUCCUUCAGCAAAUAAAAUCAAAUUAAUCAUUUUGUAAACUAA